rnacentral:tRNA from 1 species
GCCCAGCUAGCUCAGUGGGUAGAGCAUGAGACUCUUCAUCUCACAGUCUAUGGGUUUGAGCUCCCAUGUUGGGUG